GCAGACUCACUCUGCACCUGGCUGCAGCCCCAGGCAGGUGCUUUUUCCGUCUGCCACAGCAGCAUUCCGGGGGGGCUGUGACCACUUUGACCUGUCAAGGGCAACGCAGCCACCCCGGUACACAGAA